CCUACGGGAGGCAGCAGUGAGGAAUAUUGGUCAAUGGACGCGAGCCUGAACCAGCCAAGUAGCGUGAAGGAUGACUGCCCUAUGGAUUGUAAACUUCUUUUAUAUGGGAGUAAAAUGUUCCACGUGUGGGAUUCUGUAUGUACCAUAUGAAUAAGGAUCGGCUAAAUCCGUGCCAGCAGCCGCGGUAAUACGGAGGAUACGAGCGUGAUCCGGAUUUAUUGGGUUUAAAGGGAUCGGAGGUGGAUAGAUAAGUCAGUUGUGAAAGUUUGCGGCUCAACCGUCAACUUACAGUUGAAACUGGCAGUCUUGAGUACAUGAGAGGUAUGCGGAAUGCGUGGUGUAGCGGUGAAAUGCUUAGAUAUCACGAAGAACUCCGAUUGCGAAGGCAGCACACUGGACUGCAACUGACGCUGAUGCUCGAAAGUGUGGGUAUCGAACAGGAUUAGAUACCCGUGUAGUC
rnacentral:rRNA from 1 species